AGUGAACCAAGGCCUGGGUUUUGCUCUGGAAGCCUGUCCUGCCUGCUUCUGUAAUCUGGCGCUAUGCAUCCGGAUCUUGGACCCUUACGUACACUGCUGUAUGUUACUCUUAUAAUUCUGUGCUCUUCUGUGAGUUCAGACUUGGCACCUUAUUUUACUUCUGAGCCACUCUCUGCCGUCCAGAAACUUGGUGGACCUGUAGUACUACAUUGUUCUGCUAAACCUGUGACCACUCGUAUCUCAUGGUUGCAUAAUGGAAAAAAAUUGGAUGGAAACCUGGAACAUAUUAAGAUUCAUCAGGGGACUUUGACAAUUCUUUCUCUCAACUCCUCCCUCUUGGGUUACUACCAGUGCCUUGCCAACAAUAGCAUCGGUGCCAUUGUGAGUGGCCCUGCGACAGUAUCUGCAGCAGUUCUUGGUGAUUUUGGUUCAUCCACAAAGCAUGUUAUUACAGCAGAAGAAAAAAGUGCUGGUUUCAUUGGCUGCAGGGUACCAGAGAGUAACCCCAAAGCUGAGGUGCGCUAUAAAAUCCGAGGAAAAUGGCUGAAACAUUCCACAGAGAAUUACUUAAUCCUUCCAUCAGGAAAUCUUCAGAUUUUGAAUGUAUCCUUAGAGGACAAGGGAUCAUACAAAUGUGCAGCUUAUAAUCCUGUCACACAUCAAUUAAAAGUUGAACCUAUUGGCCGAAAGCUCCUUGUGAGUCGUCCUUCUUCAGAUGAUUUUCACAUUCUUCACCCCACCCAUUCACAGGCAUUAGCUGUUCUUUCUCGUAGCCCCGUAACCUUGGAGUGUGUGGUGAGUGGGGUCCCGGCUCCUCAAGUGUAUUGGCUAAAGGACGGGCAGGACAUUGCACCAGGAAGCAACUGGAGAAGGUUGUAUUCUCAUCUUGCCACAGAUAGCAUUGACCCAGCGGACUCCGGAAACUAUUCCUGCAUGGCGGGAAACAAGUCUGGAGAUGUUAAAUAUGUGACUUACAUGGUUAAUGUACUUGAACAUGCUUCCAUUUCUAAAGGACUACAGGAUCAGAUAACGUCUCUGGGUGCCACAGUACACUUUACCUGUGACGUUCGUGGGAACCCAGCCCCCAACUGUACCUGGUUUCACAAUGCACAGCCUAUUCAUCCUUCCGCACGACAUCUAACUGCAGGAAACGGACUGAAAAUCAGUGGGGUUACCGUGGAAGAUGUUGGGAUGUAUCAGUGUGUAGCAGAUAAUGGGAUUGGAUUUAUGCACUCUACUGGAAGACUUGAAAUUGAAAAUGGUAGGCUUUUAGGUCAUGCCAGUCAUAAGAACUUUUAUUUUACAGAUGGGCUUUUGUUGUGGUCAAAAAUGAAAUUAUUUUUACUAAAAGAAAAUAACCCUAGCACCGUACAAGAACGGUGUUCAUUUUCCAUGUUCCUGGCUAGUGACAGGUAGGCAUUUCCGUGAAGAAGUAAUCUUAUUUAAUCAAGCUCAUUAAAAAAAGUUUUUAAAACAUUUUCAACAGAUUCUGCAUACUUUAAAAAUCUAUAUGGUACAAUCUCUGUCUUACUCUUAUUCCUAGACAGUCAGUUCCUCUCUUUAGAAAUAAUUAGUUUUGUCAGUUUCUUGAGCAGCCUUGUAUGUAGUGCACAUACAAGUGGUUUCACACAACAUGAGAGAGUGUGUGUGCAUUUUAUAACAAUAUCUGUUUUUGGUUUUUUUUA
rnacentral:sRNA from 1 species